GUGAGUGGAAGCUCAUUGUAGAGGUCACGUGCAGAGUGCUCGUCACUCAUCCAAUCACCUCGGGGAAGGUGGAGGAGCCAAUUGUAACCCUUGCCAUGCAUCACCUCAUGCGGGUGAGCGAGUCAACAGAAAAAUUGGGCCAACGCUAGCAGUUUCAACAGGAGAAGACAAUUUUUGAGAGACUUCUGCAGAAGAAGAAGCCUGUCUGUCACAGCGCAAAGCUGUCAAAAAAGAGUUCUGCCUUCCCAUUGUAUCCACUCUGGUUUCAUUGGUGGCCGGGGUUGAUGACAUAAAGAGGGUCAUUCAAUCAAGCAGUACAGGAACAUCAUAUCUUGUAUAGUCAGCACUUUCCAGGUCAU
rnacentral:lncRNA from 1 species